rnacentral:rRNA from 1 species
UACGGGGGGGCAAGCGUUGUUCGGAAUUACUGGGCGUAAAGGGCUCGUAGGUGGCCAACUAAGUCAGACGUGAAAUCCCUCAGCUUAACUGGGGAACUGCGUCUGAUACUGGAUGGCUUGAGUUUGGGAGAGGGAUGCGGAAUUCCAGGUGUAGCGGUGAAAUUCGUAGAUAUUGGGAAGAACACCGAUGGCGAAGGCAGCCAUCUGGACCGACACUGACGCUGAGGCGCGAAAGCGUGGGGAGCAAACAGG